rnacentral:rRNA from 1 species
CAGCCGCCGCGGUAAUACGGAGGGUGCAAGCGUUAAUCGGAAUUACUGGGCGUAAAGCGCACGCAGGCGGUCUGUCAAGUCAGAUGUGAAAUCCCCGGGCUUAACCUGGGAACUGCAUUUGAAACUGGCAGACUGGAGUCUUGUAGAGGGGGGUAGAAUUCCAGGUGUAGCGGUGAAAUGCGUAGAGAUCUGGAGGAAUACCGGUGGCGAAGGCGGCCCCCUGGACAAAGACUGACGCUCAGGUGCGAAAGCGUGGGGAGCAAACAGGAUUAGAUACCCGGGUAGUCCCUGUCUCUUAUAC